GGGGAUGAUCUGGUCUCGACAGGGAUAAUGCACUAGAGUAAGCGAGCCGUGUUUCUGUUUCCUGGGGUACACGUUAAAGAACUGGGAUACUAAACAUUAAAUGCAAAUAACAAUUUUGCUUACGCAGCUUAACCUAAAUUAAGCCGCAUUGGAUCACAAGGGCCUUGGCAUCUGACGCCGUGAUCCGAUAAUCAAUCAGAUGUGCGAUCAGUCUGUUGUCCCGGCAGCUGGUUAAGAUUUAGGGACACUCCUCUCUUCAAAUUUGUUACCUUAUAGAGAGAGGAAAACAAAGGUAGCUGCGCUCGGAGAAAGCUUUAGGAAUUUGUUUUUGGACAGGGGUUCGAUUCCCCUCAUCUCCACCA
rnacentral:tmRNA from 1 species